UACGUAGGGGGCAAGCGUUGUCCGGAAUCAUUGGGCGUAAAGCGCGUGUAGGCGGUCCGGUAAGUCCGCUGUGAAAGUCGGGGGCUCAACCCUCGGAUGCCGGUGGAUACUGUCGGGCUUGAGUAUGGAAGAGGUGAGUGGAGUCCCGAGUGUAGAGGUGAAAUUCGUAGAUAUUCGGAGGAACACCAGUGGCGAAGGCGAGUCUCUGGACGACUCCUGACACUGAGGCACGAAAGCUGGGGGAGCAAACAGG
rnacentral:rRNA from 1 species